GCGGCUGCCGCCGGCGGGAGCAGGAGCCCGGCGGGACGCACCAUGAGCAGCCUCCCCGCCGACCGGGAGGGCGGCCCCGCCGACCCCGGCCUGCCCGAGGAGGAGGAAAGGAUAAAUUUGCCUUCUUUACAUUGAAUUUCAUGGACACAGGGGAAGCUCCUCUGGAUGAAGGAGCCUGCUGGGAGAAAUCCGGGCAGCGUUUCCAUCGGGAGAUGGUGAGGACGCUCUUUGUCAGCGGGUUGCCUCUGGAUAUCAAGCCCCGGGAACUUUACCUGCUCUUCAGGCCCUUUAAGGGGUACGAAGGGUCUCUCAUCAAACUCACUUCCAAGCAGCCUGUGGGCUUCGUCAGCUUCGACAGCCGCUCCGAGGCGGAGGCAGCGAAGAACGCGCUGAACGGCAUCCGCUUCGACCCCGAGAUCCCCCAGACGCUGCGGCUGGAGUUCGCCAAGGCGAACACCAAGAUGGCCAAGAGCAAGCUGGUGGGCACCCCCAACCCCAGCACGCCUCUCCCCACCGCCGUACCUCAGUUCAUCGCCCGGGAGCCCUAUGAGCUCACAGUGCCUGCACUUUACCCCGGUAGCCCUGAAGUGUGGGGGCCCUACCCUCUGUACCCAGCGGAGUUAGCACCUGCUCUACCUCCUCCUGCUUUCACCUACCCCGCUUCGCUGCACGCCCAGAUGCGCUGGCUCCCUCCCUCCGAGGCUGGUUCUCAGGGCUGGAAGUCCCGUCAGUUCUGCUGAAUGCCGGGUCUCAGGUGUGUGAUGGUGGCCUACAGUCAGUCUUGUGGGUAUGAACGGAGUCUUCCAAGGCGGCUACUGGGUUGGCGUGCUCUCCGCAAAACCACAGUGUGCUGGCUUGAAAAAAAAAAAAAAAAAACAAACCAAAACCAAAACCUCACACAAGUUUGGAUUCCUCCAAGACUUUCCCACAGCCUCUAUCACACAUCUGCUCUCCUAGAAGAAAAACGAAAAGCAUACCUAGUAAUAAUAUUUUCCUCUUUUACACUGUAUAUUUGUAAGAAAGAGUGUGUUACUUCUGAAAGCAUGGUUUGACAGGCAUUGCUGUAGCGUUUGAAAAGUCUUUUCAAACAGAACCAUAGGAAAGCAGACGGCGAAAAAAGCAAAAUGACAGCGAGUAUUUUUGUACCAAACCUCCUAAAUAGGACAAUCUUACACUGGGUCGGACCACAGGUUUUGUGCUUGACUUUUGAAUGCGUGUAAUUAAGAGCCUCCAUCCCCCCUGCCCCGUCAGCUGCAUGUCGAAGGCACGAGGUUCCUGUGUGUGCAGAUGUUGAGACGCACGAUUCGGGUUCGUAGGGACUGUGCUCCGGCUGUGUCGGCGAGACCUCUGUGGACACUUACAGUAUUACCGUUUUCUUCCCAGUUGUACCAAAUGACAACCAGGCAGGACAAUCAGAAACUUUCUUACGGUGAUUUUUUUUUACCUUAGGGCUAUGUUACUAGCUUGCUGUGCAAAGCUUUCGGCAUGGUACAACGGCUCGGAUCAGGGAUGGGCAGAGACAGCCCGCACAUGUAGCAAAGGUGACAAUUUGCCUCCUCCUCCUCCUGCUCCUCCUGCUCCCCCUCCUCCUCCUGCCACGACUGCUUGAAGUUGUCACGGGCAACGUAAACUGCUGUAUGAGAACAAAAAAAACCAAACCGACCAAACAAAAAACCAACAGCAAACCCCUCGGUUCGCCAGCUUACUUGAGGUCGGGCGCGAGGCCCGAGCGAGCCGAGGGGCUUGGACACGUGCCUGCCGUUACGCCAAAGCGCUGGGCUGAACUGGGGUUUUAGCGUCAAGGUUGUGCCGGUCCGGCGGCUGGCUGUGUAGCAUUUCCAGGUUCCCACGUGCAAAGACAAGAAGGGAGGCUGCUAACACCCCUGGGGCAGUAACCGUAGCCUUUACAGAGAUAGCGUACCAGCAAAGAGACCGCUUGACAUACUAGCCUCUCCUUCUCCUUGCUCCAGCAGGAAUUUGGAAGAAGAAAGAGCAAAGCAAACCAAAGCCUCUAACUGAGUUUGGUUUCUUGCAAAACUUCUCCUUUCCCUGCCUCUCCCCCCGCACCCCGUCCCCGCUGCCUGUGCCUCGGCCGGUUUCCCAGCUGCACCGAAGGCACAGGGUGCCCGUGGCCUUGGUAAACACCGUCACCUUCUUCUUCCUCCUUCCUUUUAUUCUGUGGCUGGGCCAAAAUAAGACGGCUGAGAUUUCGGCUGCUGGAGCCGGGGCGGGGGGGGGGAGAUGGUGCGAUGGGAAACUGUCCCAUUGGAGUCUUCUGUAAAAAGUGGGAUUAACAAAAGGCGACGGGAGAAGAAAUCAAUUCCAAGACAAACCUCUGAGCGGCUCUACAAGGAACGAUACCAGCGUUUCCAAGCGACGGACUAACUCUUUUAGCAAACUAUUUCCUGUACUUUGUCUUGUGGAGAGGAGAGAAGCUUCCACAUUGUCUACUCCGCUUUUGGAAAUAUGUUUAAAGGUACUUUUCUAUUGUAAUUUUUUAAAAAUAAAACCAGUGAUUAUUGUAAGUUACGCGCAGAGCGUCGCUGUGGGCUGUGUACCUGCUUAGGAACAGGGAGAAGGAUCCCAACGCACCCUUUGGGGCCUGGGGAACAGCAGCCUCCUUCCUCCCUCGGGGUGUUUGAAGGCAAGGCUCCUGAGGGACACGGUGAUUUUUCAGGGCUGAUACCAUCAUCCCGCUUGGUUCUCUAGGAAAGCUCCAAAAUCCAGGCUGGAAGGAUCAGCAGGCUUUAAAGAAAUAUCUUCAAGUUUACAAAGAUGUUAUCAGUUAGUUUUUAAACCUACUAAUCUUGGCACCGAGCACAGGAGCUAAGCUGCAGUUUUCCAUGAGCUCAGCCACAGCAGAGGCAAACGUAACCUAGAGACGAAGGGCCAGAUUUUUUUUUUUUUUUUUUUUUUUUAAAACACACUGAGAAUUUUUAAAAAACUCGGUUCGUAAGCCCAACCUAGAAAUUCCUCCUUCUUCUCCCGCUCCACCCCCGCCCCAAUAAAUGUGACCCGCAUCCCCAGGAGCCUCAGCCAACAGGCCAGACUUGGAAAACAAAGUACCAGGAGCAAGCUCCAGCUUAGCAAACACAGCCCGGAGAACAGUACGCAAAAGCCAUUAUUAAAACAGGCUGCAAAGUGUUGAGGGUGAAAGAAAAAGGCCAUGGCGGUGUCAUUCGAAACCCCGGGGCCGGCAGGGACGAGCCGGGGAGUGAAGCCCUUAAUGUGGGAUGCUAAUCCUGUCCCCCGCCACCGCAAGUCACAGCUUUCUUUCAGCUUUCUUUGGGAGUUGCAUUCAGGGGAGAGGUUUGUUGGCAGGCCCUGGGGUAGGAAGGGAAGAGAGGGACAAGCUGCGAGAACGUAUCGCUCAGCCCAGCUGCUACUCAGCGCGGCGGUAACUGGCCCACACCCCCGGCCCCGCUUUAGCAAGACACGCAGAUGCUUUCGGGAGCGGAUUCAGCAACAAACAUCCUCCAGCGAAAAAAGCGACGAAACACGCACACGCUCGUCCUCCGGGACUCUGCCCGGGCACAGCAUCUGCUCCGAGAUCUGCCCUGCGAAAGGAAGCGGGGCCUUGCUGAAAACAUGUAACCUCUCGAAACGUU